CAGCAGCCGCGGUAAUACGAAGGGUGCAAGCGUUAAUCGGAAUUACUGGGCGUAAAGCGUGCGCAGGCGGUUUGUUAAGACAGAUGUGAAAUCCCCGGGCUCAACCUGGGAACUGCAUUUGUGACUGGCAAGCUAGAGUAUGGCAGAGGGGGGUGGAAUUCCGCGUGUAGCAGUGAAAUGCGUAGAGAUCGGGAGGAACAUCAGUGGCGAAGGCGGCCAUCUGGGACAACACUGACGCUGAGGCACGAAAGCGUGGGGAGCAAACAGGAUUAGAUACCCCCGUAGUCCCUGUCUCUUAUAC
rnacentral:rRNA from 1 species